AAAACUCUUCUUUUAUUGGGUGGCCUCAUUAAAAACCCUCCUUAGGGAAAAAAGAGUGCCCCCUUCAAACUGUUUUAUCAGAGACAUUGUAAUAUAACUUUGUGUUUGUCUUUACUUACAAAGCUCUUAACUAUAGUACAACUUCAGGUGUGUGGCGUUCCAGGUGCGAGGAAUCGCCCCUCCUUCCAGCGUCUCUAAGCGGUAGGCGCCGUUCCCGAGCGCCUCGGUUAUUCUGAACGGUCCAGUCCACUUGGGUGACAGUUUAUUCUCCAUCUCGUACUGGUGGGCCUUCCUCAUCACCA
rnacentral:lncRNA from 1 species